rnacentral:rRNA from 1 species
AGGACAUGGCGGCGUCUUACACAUGCAGUCGAACGAUGAAGCCCAGCUUGCUGGGUGGAUUAGUGGCGAACGGGUGAGUAACACGUGAGUAACCUGCCCUUAACUCUGGGAUAAGCCUGGGAAACUGGGUCUAAUACCGGAUAGGAGCGCCUACCGCAUGGUGGGUGUUGGAAAGAUUUAUCGGUUUUGGAUGGACUCGCGGCCUAUCAGCUUGUUGGUGAGGUAAUGGCUCACCAAGGCGACGACGGGUAGCCGGCCUGAGAGGGUGACCGGCCACACUGGGACUGAGACACGGCCCAGACUCCUACGGGAGGCAGCAGUGGGGAAUAUUGCACAAUGGGCGCAAGCCUGAUGCAGCGACGCCGCGUGAGGGAUGACGGCCUUCGGGUUGUAAACCUCUUUCAGUAGGGAAGAAGCGAAAGUGACGGUACCUGCAGAAGAAGCACCGGCUAACUACGUGCCAGCAGCCGCGGUAAUACGUAGGGUGCGAGCGUUAUCCGGAAUUAUUGGGCGUAAAGAGCUCGUAGGCGGUUUGUCGCGUCUGUCGUGAAAGUCCGGGGCUUAACCCCGGAUCUGCGGUGGGUACGGGCAGACUAGAGUGCAGUAGGGGAGACUGGAAUUCCUGGUGUAGCGGUGGAAUGCGCAGAUAUCAGGAGGAACACCGAUGACGAAGGCAGGUCUCUGGGCUGUAACUGACGCUGAGGAGCGAAAGCAUGGGGAGCGAACAGGAUUAGAUACCCUGGUAGUCCAUGCCGUAAACGUUGGGCACUAGGUGUGGGGGACCAUUCCACGGUUUCCGCGCCGCAGCUAACGCAUUAAGUGCCCCGCCUGGGGAGUACGGCCGCAAGGCUAAACUCAAAGGAAUUG